AGUCGCGUGUUCUAAUGGUUAUGAUUUCUCGUUCACAAGCAAUUGUGUUCAAUCCCAGUUCCGAGAAGGUUCCGUGUUCGAUCCACGGCGUGACUA
rnacentral:tRNA from 1 species